rnacentral:rRNA from 1 species
AUUGAACGCUGGCGGCAGGCUUAACACAUGCAAGUCGAGCGGGGUGAUGGUGCUUGCACUAUCACUUAGCGGCGGACGGGUGAGUAAUGCUUAGGAAUCUGCCUAUUAGAGGGGGACAACAUCUCGAAAGGGAUGCUAAUACCGCAUACGUCCUACGGGAGAAAGCAGGGGAUCACUUGUGACCUUGCGCUAAUAGAUGAGCCUAAGUCGGAUUAGCUAGUUGGUGGGGUAAAGGCCUACCAAGGCGACGAUCUGUAGCGGGUCUGAGAGGAGGAUCCGCCACACUGGGACUGAGACACGGCCCAGACUCCUACGGGAGGCAGGAGUGGGGAAUAUUGGACAAAGGGGGGAACCCUGCUCCAGCCAUGCCGCGUGUGUGAAGAAGGGCUUAUGGUUGUAAAGCACUCUUAGCGAGGAGGAGGCUCCUUUGGUUAAUACCCAAGAUGAGUGGACGUUACUCGCAGAAUAAGCACCGGCUAACUCUGUGCCAGCCGCCGCGGUAA